rnacentral:rRNA from 1 species
UGGGGGAUAUUGCACAAUGGGGGGAACCCUGAUGCAGCGACGCCGCGUGGGCGAAGAAGUAUUUCGGUAUGUAAAGCCCUGUCAGCGGGGAAGAAGAGAUGACGGUACCCGACCAAGAAGCACCGGCUAAAUACGUGCCAGCAGCCGCGGUAAUACGUAUGGUGCAAGCGUUAUCCGGAUUUACUGGGUGUAAAGGGAGCGCAGGCGGCACGCCAAGUCCGGUGUGAAACCCCGGGGCCCAACCCCGGGCAUGCACUGGAAACUGGCGGGCUGGAGUGCCGGAGGGGUAGGCGGAAUUCCUGGUGUAGCGGUGAAAUGCGUAGAUAUCAGGAGGAACACCGGUGGCGAAGGCGGCCUACUGGACGGUGACUGACGCUGAGGCUCGAAAGCGUGGGGAGCAAACAGG